GACGAACGCUGGCGGCGUGCCUAAUACAUGCAAGUCGAGCGAGCGGCGGACGGGUGAGUAACACGUAAGGAACCUACCGAUAAGCGGGGGACAACAUCCGGAAACGGGUGCUAAUACCGCAUAAUUAUCGGUGGCCUUGCGGUGCAUUAGCUCGGUGGGGGGGUAACGGCCUACCAAUGCAAUGAUGCAUAGCCGACCUGGGAGGGUAGUCGGCCACAUUGGGACUGAGGCACGGCCCGAACUCCAACGGGAGGCAGCAGUAGGGAAUCUUCCGCAAGGGGCGCAAGCCUGACGGGGCAACGCCGCGUGAGUGAAGAAGGUUUUCGGAUCGUAAAGCUCUGUUGUAAGAGAAGCGGUAUCUUACCAGAAAGCCACGGCUAACUACGUGCCAGCAGCCGCGGUAAUAC
rnacentral:rRNA from 1 species